GAUGAACGCUGACAGAAUGCUUAACACAUGCAAGUCAACUUGAACUUCGGUUUGGGUGGCGGACGGGUGAGUAACGCGUAAAGAACUUGCCUCACAGAUAGGGACAACAUUUGGAAACGAAUGCUAAUACCUGAUAUUAUGAUUAUAUGGCAUCGUAUAAUUAUGAAAGCUAUAUGCGCUGUGAGAGAGCUUUGCGUCCCAUUAGCUAGUUGGAGAGGUAACGGCUCACCAAGGCGAUGAUGGGUAGCCGGCCUGAGAGGGUGAUCGGCCACAAGGGGACUGAGACACGGCCCUUACUCCUACGGGAGGCAGCAGUGGGGAAUAUUGGACAAUGGACCAAGAGUCUGAUCCAGCAAUUCUGUGUGCACGAUGAAGUUUUUCGGAAUGUAAAGUGCUUUCAGUUGGGAAGAAAAAAAUGACGGUACCAACAGAAGAAGUGACGGCUAAAUACGUGCCAGCAGCCGCGGUAAUACGUAUGUCACAAGCGUUAUCCAGAUUUAUUGGGCGUAAAGCGCGUCUAGGUGGUUAUGUAAGUCUGAUGUGAAAAUGCAGGGCUCAACUCUGUAUUGCGUUGGAAACUGUGUAACUAGAGUACUGGAGAGGUAAGCGGAACUACAAGUGUAGAGGUGAAAUUCGUAGAUAUUUGUAGGAAUGCCGAUGGGGAAGCCAGCUUACUGGACAGAUACUGACGCUGAAGCGCGAAAGCGUGGGUAGCAAACAGG
rnacentral:rRNA from 1 species